rnacentral:pre_miRNA from 12 species
AGAGUGAAGAUAAACUCUUACUUGGAGGUCACGCGUAUUCUUGGGGAAUUAACACACAUUAUGAGAUGUUAUUGCUUGAGAAUACACGUAGCUGACAAUGAGAAACACAUCACAGGAAGAA